rnacentral:miRNA from 1 species
CUAGUUUCCUCUAACGUUUCA